ACGCUCGACACCUACGGGAGGUAGCAGUGGGGGAGUAUUGCACAAUGGAGGAAACUCUGAUGCAGCGACGCCGCGUGAGGGAAGACGGUUUUCGGAUUGUAAACCUCUGUCUUCAGGGACGAAAUGAAUGACGGUACCUGAGGAGGAAGCUCCGGCUAACUACGUGCCAACAGCCGCGGUAAUCUGAGCGGGCUGGCAAGGC
rnacentral:rRNA from 1 species